ensembl:snRNA U5 U5 spliceosomal RNA
AUACUCUGGCUUCUCUUCAGCUCGUAUAAAUCUUUCGCCUUUUACUAAAGAUUUCCGUGGAAAGGAGCAUCAAAGACACUGACAAAAUGUUAUAGAUAACCAUUUAGAAUUCAUAU